AACAUGCUUAUGUAUUUUGAGCCUGGAAAGCCCAACUUUCCUGCUUGUAUGACUUGUUGGCUAUAGUUUUUGUUCUUAUGUUUUAUGUCUAAACUCCCUAACAAAAAUUUCCAUCUAUUAAUUAUUAAACCAAUGGAGUGAGCUGAUUGAUAUAAGGAGGUUCCAUUUAUAGUUUUUGUUCUUUUAUGUUUUUAUAUGAUUUGAAGAGAUAGAUAGUAUCCCUUUCAGGAGGUUCCCAAUUGCAGCUAAGUAAUAAUCUGAGUUCUCCAUGUCAUCUGAGCUGUGUGCCUGAUUGUUGUGCCGUGAUUCUAUUAGAGAGAUUGUUUGAGUAGAUUUCUUCCUCAUGGCAUGCCUGAGUUUGACUACUUCAAUGAUCUGGUCAUGCAUCCUUCAAUCUUUCUGUCCAGAUCCAAUAUACCAUAGCACAGAGAGUGGAUUGAGACUUUGAGUAACCCACCAUGGGGAACUCCUUACCCUGUAGAGAGUGUAUCCAUCUCCAGGGUGACACACACAUGAUGAAACACACAUGGUAGAAAAAUUAAUAAGAGAAGGCUAACAAAUGAAAUGCCCUAUGUUCUUUUUUCCAGCCAACAAAUCCAGCAGGUUUCAUGACACAUGCAUGGUUUAUGUAUUCACUACAAUACUGUUAUGCUGAGAACUAUCAAGGCUAACAACAGGCUCCACCACUUGCUGAUUGCUACAAAGUAUGAUUCCAAAGAAUAUAUCCAUAUUAUAUCAAGCAAAGGGUACAUAAAAACACAACUUAGCUCUUAACUACGUAAGAGAGGACUAAUAAUUAGCUAUAGUUUGACCUGUCUUUUUGUAAUAAUCAAUUCUCCUACGGUCUUGGAUAACAAACUUUGACGUCCCUGUUUCUACCUGAUCGGUGUUCAUACGUCCAAGAGCACGAAUAUACGAUUUGAACUUAGAAUCUAUAACAACUCAUUGAUUUAGUUUGUUAAUUAAUUUUAGUGUUAUGACUUCAAAAUUUCGCUUUUAAAAGGUUGGGGUUGCAAAUUAUUUUAAAGCUUUAUUUAUUCCAGUUGAAUCAAAAGUAUCUACGGAAGGUAACUCCAACAAAUGUUUAAUCUUUUCUUUUUCUUUUUUAUGUAUAUAUUGCAGGUUGUGCUAAGUUUAUGUGAAGAAAUUAUAAGCCAUGAUCCGUAAAAUCGACACUUUUAACUUGAAGCAAAUGUAUUUUUUUAAUUUUUGAAAGAACAUAGAGCUCCACAAUCAUUUUUUUAAUUAACAUCUUACAAAUCAGUUUGAUAUGUCAAAGGGGCUUUUUAUGUAAUAGUCAAACUGGCGUAUACAUAUUGUUCUAUAGCUGAUAAAUCACUGUAUGAUAUACUAAGUUUGUGCCUAUUUUUGCACAAAUACUUUUAUUUAUUUAUUUUUUGUUCAAGUGAACUUUUCCUUUUUUUGGAUGCAUUGCCAAGUCUAGAUACUAAUGUAUACUCAUAUGUUGUGUUAAUAAUGUAUUCAUUCACUUAUCUUGCAGACAACAUGAAACUCUUGCGGUUUAAAGACGAAAAAGAAAAUUACAAGAAAAUCACCAGUUAUCCAGAAUGAAGGAACCCUCUUAUGAUAGGAUGAAGUUGAAGACUAGAGAAAAGAUGGAAAUUUAUCUAGAAGAAACAUAAUGAAACUGUGAACUCCUUAUGGAGAUUGUUCACAUGCCUAUGGUGUGGUGUGAUUAUAAUAGGAUGAAGUUGAAGACUGGAGAGAAGAUGUUGAGCGAUUGUUUAGCUUUUGUAAUAUCCAUCAAUUAAACCUGUAUGGUACUAUGAACUCCUUAUGGCGUGAGACCCACCAAGAGUAACAUGUGCACAUCAUGUGUACGAUAAAUCACACCACACCAUAGGCCUUCCCCUUGAACACAAUCUCUACCUUGAUGACAUGGUUGACCUUUCUUUCUUCUUCAGUCUAGCUGAAAUAGCUAGUCUAAAAAAUCUUGUGCCACCUCAUCUUUGAACGUGUUCCAAGUUUGAGAUACUCACUAUAUGCAUUUGGCGAUGCUGCACGAUUGCACUCAACUUCAUUUGUUGUGAUAAAGUUUGUAUUUUUAUACAUUGUAAAUGCACGCACAAAGUUGAAAUCCUUGUGAUAAAGUUUGUAUUUUUGCCACUUGGAUGCUAUGGUAACGCUCUUGGACUACCUUUAGCACUUACAAGUUACAACUGUUAGUAUACUCUGUCAGAAUCAAUUAGGAUAUUCAUUGGAGUUAGUUCGAAAAGCCAAAGCCGAUAUAACUGACGAGUCUGCAGAUUUGUUAGUAACAAAGAGUCGACCCAACUAUACAAUGUCCGAACCUAUGAAGGGUCUAAUGUUGCACGUAUAGGGUUCAAGGACAUUGUUUUGGAUGGGGUAAGGCACUAUAUUGUGGCCAAAAGUGUUUUCUAAGUUCCUUCCUUAGUCAGGUUUGUUUUGUUUUAACUUAUAUAGUUAUAUCUAUGGCUUUUGAGAAAACCAUAUACAGCUUGCACUUGCUCUUUGUUGAUUGCUUGCAUACUUUGAUGUUGUCUAGGGAAGCUUACCAGUUCAUGAUAGUAUGGAUGCCUUGGCUGCUGCUGCAUUACAUAUGGCUUUGGAGAGAUCCCAAGUUGGUAAGAUCCAUAUCCUUAAUAAUAAGUUCUUGUGCCUCUUUGUGUUAUGUGAGCUAGAAAAUUAUGGUGAGAUUAAUUUUGUGAAUGCCUAGAAACUUGCUUAUGUAUUUUGAUCCUUUCACCUAUUUAUUAUUAAACCAAUGAAGGAUAGCUGUGCUAGCCUCCCCUGGGAUUAGUCCCAGUAAAUAAAAAUAAAGGUAGAACAAACCCCACAUAAAACCAAAAAAUUUCCACUGAUGAACUUAACAUUUUAUUCACGCUAUUAAGGGGGGUUUUAGUUUUAAAGGACAUGAACAGAGAUUCCCAUGAACUUAAAAUUUCCAGUUAGCAUCAUAGGUAGGUUCCUUAUUCGCGUAGUACAUUCAAAUAUCUGUACCAUCUUUGUUUUUUUUUU
rnacentral:lncRNA from 1 species